UACGUAGGGGGCUAGCGUUGUCCGGAAUCAUUGGGCGUAAAGCGCGUGUAGGCGGCCCGGUAAGUCCGCUGUGAAAGUCGGGGGCUCAACCCUCGGAUGCCGGUGGAUACUGUCGGGCCGGAGUGCGGAAGAGGCGAGUGGAAUUCCUGGUGUAGCGGUGAAAUGCGCAGAUAUCAGGAGGAACACCAAUUGCGAAGGCAGCUCGCUGGGACGUUACUGACGCUGAGACGCGAAAGCGUGGGGAGCAAACAGG
rnacentral:rRNA from 1 species